rnacentral:rRNA from 1 species
CCAGACUCCUACGGGAGGCAGCAGUGGGGAAUAUUGCACAAUGGGGGGAACCCUGAUCCAGCGACGCCGCGUGAGUGAAGAAGUAUUUCGGUAUGUAAAGCUCUAUCAGCAGGGAAGAAAGAAAUGACGGUACCUGACUAAGAAGCCCCGGCUAACUACGUGCCAGCAGCCGCGGUAAUACGUAGGGGGCAAGCGUUAUCCGGAUUUACUGGGUGUAAAGGGAGCGUAGACGGCAAUGCAAGUCUGGAGUGAAAGGCGGGGGCCCAACCCCCGGACUGCUCUGGAAACUGUAUAGCUGGAGUGCAGGAGAGGUAAGUGGAAUUCCUAGUGUAGCGGUGAAAUGCGUAGAUAUUAGGAGGAACAUCGGUGGCGUAAGCGCUUUACUGGGCCGUAAUUGACACUGAGGAACGAAAGCCGGGGUAGCAAAUGGGAUUAGAUACCCGCGUAAU